UCAUCGAAUGUGCCAGUGACUUCGUCUAGACUUCUGACAGGCCAAGGGCUCCCAGGGCAAAGACCUACAGGUUCGCAGACCUACAGGUUCGCAGACCGGAGCAGGGAGGCACAGAGGCUGAAGAGACUUGCUGGGAGCCACAGAGGACAUUCGUGAUUUAGGUUUUGGCGUCCCGUGAACUGGGCAGAUGCUUGCAUUCCCGUGGGAGCUCAACUUCUGCAGGGCGUGCAGCACCCUCCUCUUUGGUCCCGGGAGCCUCGCCCCACAGGUGAGGCUGCUGCCCCGUGGAGAACCAGCUCCCUCCUCUUAGACCUCCAGGGCCGGAGCUCUGGCCGCCCCGCUGGGAGGAUGUGGGGAAAAUACUUCACAUUCUUUCCUGAAGGAUUCACGGCCAAGAAAACCAGAUAUGGCUGGUUUAUCCACCAGGCUCCUCGGCCACAUUCAGCAGAGCUCAGUGAAUCCCCCCGUCCUACUUCCCACAGCGGAAGGAGGCCCCCGGAAACAUGGCCAAGGCCACGCUGUGCACCAAGCGAAGGCCGCACCGUGACGUGGGAAGAUGGCCGUGACGAAAUCUGAUCGUCAGCUGAAAAAGCAGCUUUUAAAGCAGCAUUACAGGGUGAGCCAGUUUUUUCAUCAAAUGACGUAUUUAGACGAAGACAAGACCUGGGGCGGCACACACCAAAACCCUUGUGUCCUCCGUGUGGUGAGGUGACGGGUCGUCUUCCUUUACUCCUCUGAGCUUGUUUCCACAUCCUAACAAUCUACAGUGAGUGCAAUGACCUCUUCUUGGAGAGCAUUUGAGGAAAAGUACUUUUCAAUGAUACAAGUAAUGCAGACGCAUAACAAAAACCUAAGCCAGCAGAUGUAGGUUCCACAAAAGCGGACGUCUCUGUCUGGAUUCGGCACCCCUCCUGUGAGCGUUUCCCAGGAAAACCCGGACGGCGGCGGCGAUGCCCGCCUUGUUGGGGGUUUUGUCACAAUCAAGUGAGUUAACGCAUGUACAGCGGUUAGAGCCGGGCCUGGCAUAUAAAAAGCAUACGCAAACAUUAA